rnacentral:rRNA from 1 species
UACAGAGGUCCCGAGCGUUGUUCGGAUUCACUGGGCGUAAAGGGUGCGUAGGUGGUGGAGUAAGUUUGAUGUGAAAUCUCCGGGCUUAACCCGGAAACUGCAUUGAAUACUAUUCCGCUGGAGGUUUGGAGGGGGGACUGGAAUUCCUGGUGUAGCGGUGAAAUGCGCAGAUAUCAGGAGGAACACCGGUGGCGAAGGCGGGUCUCUGGGCCGAUACUGACGCUGAGGAGCGAAAGCGUGGGGAGCGAACAGG